UAGUAAUCGCGGAUCAGCAUGCCGCGGUGAAUACGUUCCCGGGCCUUGUACACACCGCCCGUCACACCAUGAGAGCCGGGAACACCCGAAGUCCGUAGUCUAACCGUAAGGAGGACGCGGCCGAAGGUGGGUUUGGUAAUUGGGGUGAAGUCGUAACAAGGUACC
rnacentral:rRNA from 1 species